rnacentral:rRNA from 1 species
UACCCGUCUUGAAACACGGACCAAGGAGUCUAACAUGCGCGCGAGUCGUUGGGUCGGACACGCUCCGCUAAACCCAUAGGCGCAAUGAAAGUGAAGGUCGCCCUCGCGGGACCGAGGGAGGACGGAGGCGCUUCUUCGGCGGCGCCUCCCGCACUCCCGGGGCGUCUGAUUCCUCUCACUGAGGGAAGGCGCACCCAGAGCGCACACGUUGGGACCCGAAAGAUGGUGAACUAU